UUUAAUUUUGUUUUGACAAAAUCCUUGUGCUAAAUCCGUUUUUUUUUUUUUUUGAAAAAAAGAGAGUUUGGGGGAACCUAAAGUCGACUAAACGGCAUAAGUACCGUUAUCCUAGGACGUCUAAUUCUAAUCAUAAAUGAUCCCAAUAUAACGUAAGUUUUUACAAGUUUACAAAUACAAUUACAAUAAAAUUAUAAACAAAAGGAAAACACAAAUAAUUAAAUAAAAAGAGGGGAAGGCUAGGGGCGUACCAAGCCCCUAAUUAGCCAUUUUCACCGAUGGCUGGGCCAUCUACGCAUUCUCUUUUUGAUAGCAGCUUCCCUUUUAUCUUUUUCUCGGACUCGAUAAGUAUUAUAGGGAUUGCCUGUUGGGCCUUGGCCCAACAGGAUGGCUUCAGACCCGGCCCAAGUGGCCAUGUGAUAGAGGAGAGGGCAAAGGGAAAAAGGACCCGGUUAGUUUAAGGAUACUGAACUUAUCACGCUUAUAUUUAUAGAAAACACAUAUAUCAAGUAUGUAUAUGUGUAUCAAAUAGAUUCACAAAGUAAGGUAGCUAUGUAUGUAUAUACAUGUAUACUACAAGGCCCCACUGGCAGGUAUUUUGACAACAAGGGGAGGGGAGAGUCGUCGCCCCACGUAUUCCCGAUGCCGCACAAGUUUCAAGGGGUUUCAUGAACCCCAGGCAUGGCUGGUCACAGGGGAAGGCUAAGACUAGGCCCCCACCCAAAAUUACCUCAUCCCCCACCAAUGUAGACACAAGAAAAUACGCAGAUCCCAGGACCACAACAUAACAUAGCUAGCCAUGUAUAUAAACAUAAUGCAACCAGAAAACAGGCUAGCCUUAAUGAGCACAAGAUGAACAAACGCAAGUCAGGAACAUAUGACCAAAGAUUAAUCAAGCAGAAUUUCAGGGCAUAGACUUGAAGUAGCAGGAGCAAAACCAAACACACACUCAUGGAAGGAACCUAAAGCAAGCUAAAGUGAACAAAAACAAAAGACCAAAGUAUGCAGUCAUGGGGGAGUAACACAAACUGCAGCACACCUAUGUAAUGGUAAAUAAAGCAAGGAACAAGUCACAUGAUCCUGGAUGAGACAACAUAGACUAUGGUAUAUAAGUGUAAGGUGGACAAGAAUAAGAAAUCAAACCACAUAACCAUGAGGAACACACACAAACUGUAACACACAAGAGAGGUAAGCAAGUACUAAAGCACACAACCAUGAAGUGGUUAAAGCAGGUUACAUCUUGCAGAUGAGAGGCACACAAGGCAAGCUAAGAUGGGUGGGCAUAAUAGGGAUAGAGGCAAGACUAGGACCCCUCCUGUGUCUAAGUUGUCAUAUACAAAACAUGGGAUCAUAUAGGGGUGGUUAAUACAACUAGGACAAUCAGAUAAGACAUGGACAAGACAAGUUGACCUCAUAGUUUCACACUUCUGCUAAUCCCUUCCCUUUGUUCAUCAAUCACUCCUAACAAUACACUUAACUCUAAUAUGGGGCCUCAUUUAGUCUACGAGCAGAAUCCAUAUAGUCCCAAGGUUCUUUACAAUGAACAUACAACCCCACAAGCCAUAGAAGUGCCAUGGGGCCCUUUAUCCGAAGGAAAUAUGUUAUAAGACAAGCUAGGGUUGGUUUUCCUUUUCUCCUUUCUCCAGGGCACCUUUAAAAAGGCUCAUCUUAGGUCAUGUGGCCUUAGUUCACUUUCAGCCCCCUUGUGAUCACAUGGAGACUUAUUUUUUCAAAUUAUUCACAGCCCAGAAUUCAAUCCAAAAAGGUUUCAAAUACAUGUGCAUAUAAACAAACAUAAUCAUUUAGACUAAGGUCAUGACCAUCUCUCAAACUCCUCAAGGCAUCACUAAGCUAAUUCAGAGUCAUAGUAUGGGUCAGUUCACCACUAACAGGUUACUCAGACCCUUUUGAUUUCACAGUCUCACCACAGAUGGGUCUAUACUCCCUAUAGGUCAUGCCGUGCCAUAAGCCCCAUUCAAACCAACCCCAGGGAUGUACACAAUCAAAUUAGAAAGAAAUAGUAGUUCAACACACAGACAGAGCAUUCUCAUAGAUGCAGAAAGCCAAACAAUCAAGUAGUGACACUAACCAUGUAAGCAAACCAUCAGAAUCCCAAAUCAGAGGUACAAAAAGGGUCUAGAGAGGGCACAGCAGGCAGGUUUACACCUUGGGCAUUAAAUUAAUUUAUUUUCAAAAAAAGGUGCCUUGGAAGAGUUUGUGACUUAGAACACACACUUAGACUCAGUGGUUUUAGCUCACAUCUCUUUUUACAAAUCCCAACAUAUAACAAACAUGUCUGCUAACUAGAACCAAUGUCAAUUCACACAUAGAUGUACACUCCAGACCCUCAGUAAGGAAAGUGGAUUUCAGGAGCAUAUUAUGUAAGCAAUCAGUCAAAACAGUCUUGAAAUAAUUUUAGUUCCUAGUAAUGGCUCUUCAACUAUUUAAUCUAAGCAAAUCCUUUCAAGAAAAACAAGAAA